UACGUAGGGGGCAAGCGUUGUCCGGAUUUACUGGGCGUAAAGAGCGCGCAGGCGGUCGUUCAAGUCGAGUGUGAAAGCCCCCGGCUCAACUGGGGAGGGUCAUUCGAUACUGAUCGACUGGAAGGCAGGAGAGGGAAGUGGAAUUCCCGGUGUAGUGGUGAAAUGCGUAGAUAUCGGGAGGAACACCAGUGGCGAAGGCGACUUCCUGGCCUGUUCUUGACGCUGAGGCGCGAAAGCUAGGGGAGCAAACGGG
rnacentral:rRNA from 1 species